rnacentral:antisense_RNA from 1 species
CUGUUGAUCUUGAAGCUUUCAAAACCAUAAAUGUCGAGGACUCCGAUCAAGCUUUUAGCAUCCGGGUCUUGACCUAUUGAACUGUUGAUCUUAUCUACAAUCCUGUCAUUAUUGAUUAGUGCACAUGUCACGGUGGGAGAUUGCUCAAACUGAGAACUAUUUAUUUAGAGUCCUGAAGGAAAACCAUGUUAAAGGGGUUGGAUUUACAUACCAGUCAAACAGCCUGGAGUACACUGUCUUGGCUAAAGCAUCACGGUUUGAGGCUGCCGAUUCUGGAUCAAGCGGCUUUGUAAUGUUACCAUCCGGAGUGACAAUAACACGCUUGCAGAGUGAAUCUUCCAUCAUCUUCUCAUUGCACCUACGUCAAGUGAAAGAUUGAAAAUUAGUCAGCAUUUCCAUUGGAAAAUGCAGAAUUUCGAGGUCUAGUGGUGGAGGAUCGCAGCUACAACUCGGAAUAUGGCAUCCUAAAGUUGAAGUUUCUCUGCAUUGUUACUGAAGACUUACCUCAGGCGGUGCUGCACAGAGCAUGUAGAAGCAGUGAUAGUUCCUCUCUGGGUCUGAAACUUGGCAAACACGAGACCGUUCAAGAAGAUAAGUGCGGAUGGCAGCUCCAGAUAUUUUCCCACGCUUGUCAAAUUGGAUCUCAACAAAUUUUCCAAACCGACUGUCGGAAACACACAAUAUUACAAACGAGUCAAAACAAAAGAUGCCAACAGAAAAAGGAAAAAUAUGUCCACACUCCGCUCUCUCCACUAACCAAAAUGGACUGGCUUCUUGCCUCAUUAAUCAUCGCCCUAGUAUAAUGGAAGCUUUUGCAAACAGAUGCGGACUUAGCUCUCCAAACGCAGCUCCUUUAUAUUGCUCCAUCAUAUGGACACUAUACAAAUGCGGAAGUCUUUGGAAUGGAUUCACCGCAAUCAAGAUGUUUCCGGUGUAAGUCUGCGCUAUUCAAGAGUUUGCAAUUAGAUAAUCACAACUUCGACUUUCAAAAGUUUGAUAAAUGGAAUGUUUUAGAUAUCAAAAGUCUUAAAUUACUGACAUAUAUCUCGUUUAAUGCAAAACGGCAAUCGAGAUUGUGGAGUACCCCUGGCUCAUGGAGGUAAGCCAGUUUAGUCAUGUCGUCAACUCCUGCAGGCGGAGCCUCUGUAUCCUUUGGAUAGAUACUAGAAAUACUAGCAACAACCUGUAAUAAUAUAAUCUAUUCUCAAAAUUCUUCUAGAAAAAUCUGUGAAUCUUACUGCAAAGGUCCAUGUGACUAUUUUGGCAUUGGUGCCUUUGAUUUCAGUCACUUCUCCACUGAUCCAUGCGAGUUCUGGAUCCUCGACCCAGACAUGUGAUCCGAGUGUGAUAUUUACAGGAGUCCCCUAACAUUAUUUAUCAAAGAAAGCUUUUCAAUAGUCACAGUAAGAAGAAAAGAUAGUAUAUGCAACAGGAGGUUAAUGGGGAGGCUUACCAUAACUCAAGCUCUUCCAAGCUCUUACACUGAGAAUCUGCAGCAGUUGGAGAACAGAGAGAUAGAUCAAAAGAAAAGGUUUUAGAGCUUAAGAUGCAGUAAAGGCGGCGGCAAAUCAACUUCUUUCAGAUAUUCUCUCUUAGGUCAUUUGCUUUGAAAACCAUGCAUUCCAUAGAAAACUGUUUGGUGUAAGGUCACACUCUU